UACAUCUUGGUGUAUGGUGCACGUUAGCUUUUGAUGCUUGGUGGUGAUAGUUUGAUUCUAUUUGAUGUAA
rnacentral:tRNA from 2 species